rnacentral:rRNA from 1 species
UACGUAGGGUGCGAGCGUUAAUCGGAUUUACUGGGCGUAAAGCGUGCGCAGGCGGCUUCGCAAGUCAGGUGUGAAAUCCCCGGGCUCAACUUGGGAAUUGCGCUUGAAACUAUGGAGCUGGAGUGCGGCAGAGGGGGGUGGAAUUCCACGUGUAGCAGUGAAAUGCGUAGAGAUGUGGAGGAACACCGAUGGCGAAGGCAGCCCCCUGGGCCGCAACUGACGCUCAUGCACGAAAGCGUGGGGAGCAAACAGG